UACGUAGGGGGCUAGCGUUGUCCGGAAUCAUUGGGCGUAAAGCGCGUGUAGGCGGCCCGGUAAGUCCGCUGUGAAAGUCGGGGGCUCAACCCUCGGAUGCCGGUGGAUACUGUCGGGCUAGAGUGCGGAAGAGGCGAGUGGAAUUCCUGGUGUAGCGGUGGAAUGCGCAGAUAUCAGGAGGAACACCAAUAGCGAAGGCAGCUCGCUGGGACGGUACUGACGCUAAGGUGCGAAAGCGUGGGGAGCAAACAGG
rnacentral:rRNA from 1 species